GGCAGGAGCGAACUUCUCUACGGCAUAAAGCUGUGAAAAUGGCUGGGCCUAAUGGGGCGACGUGAGAUAAGAUCCCCUUAGACCUCUCCUAUCCUCGGAUUGCAGCCUCUGGGGUGCUGGUGCAUGCUAGACUCUCCGCUCACCCACACUCGGAUGAACUAGACAGACGCAAGAUUAUUCCAAGAUGACUGAGAAGUUCACUCUGAAGUACAAAAGGUUGGAUGGACUCAUGCCGCCAAUAUUCCACAGGAAUGAAGAGGAAUAUUUGCCAAGGUGGCUUUCAGAUGCCCAUCGUGGCAGAACAAGGUCAGAUGUGGUUCUAAGUUACCUGGCUUCUUCCUAAAGAGCAGUAAUGACAACAAAAGCCUGGAGCUACAAGGCGCCAUCACAUAGAACCUGAGAAUGAAGCAAUAACUGCAGAAAGGGGAACCAAUAGACGGAGAGAAUCUGAGUCCUGAGGUCAUUGGCUGAGACGCUGAUCAAGCUGAACCUGAAGCCGGUGCUUCCCCUGGACUUUCAGGGAGUCUGUACCACCUGGACUGAAGACUGACUUGGAUCUCGGGGCCAACAGAACUUUGUUCCAAGUUCCAAGGCCAUCGUUGGAAUCAGUGGGUCAUUAACAGCGCACUAGAGGGCACUGAGCUAAAGGUCCCUGCACAUAUGGAAGCGCACAGGGGCACGGUUUGGGAUUAUUGGGAGAAUGCAUGAGUCAAUGGCUACGGAAAAUGCUGCACACCUACUCUGUGAAGAGGGAAGCGCCAAGAACAACUGCCACUUUCAUUUGGGGUCAGGAUUCUUGAUUCCUGCUAUCUGUUGACGUCUAUAAUCUUGGUGUUAUGCUUACAAGGGAGAGCCUCAAGCGGUAUUAAGUAUAUUAUUUUAAGAAUGAUGUGGCUUCUGGCAUCAUAUUUUGAAAAUCAAAGAUUGUAAUUUUAGGGAUAAUGGAAUACUCAAAAGGGAGUAUUCUGUAAAGCUGAGGGUGUAUGGUCAGCAGAGAGAUAUUCUUUACAAACAGUGGACUACGAGUUAGGAGAUGGCCUCAAGUCCCUCCCCCGUCAGUGAUCUUGAGCCAUUGUGGCAACACAUUCUGGGCCUCGUCCCCCCCCCAUCUGUAAAAUGGGGGUGUUUGACUCAUUGUUUCUUAACUGGGGUGAAUUCUGGAGUCACCUGGGAAGAUCCCCAAAGGCAGAAUUCUGGUUUUGUUUCUUGCUGUGUUUCUAAGGCAUAGAAAAGUACUUGGCACAGGGUAAAUACUCAAUAAAUAUUUUUUUAAUGAAGAAAUAAAACUUUUAAAAAAUUCACAGAGCAGGAUCCAGUCCAGAAAGCUCACAUCGUAUGGGCUAGAAACUGUACAUACAUUUUGUAAAAGCCCUCUGGAUCAUUUUGCCAAGCACUCUGGGCUUAAGAACCACUAAACCCAACAAUCCCCAAGGUUCCUUCCCUGAAGAAUUGUCAGAUUUAGCAAAGAAAAAUGUAAGACAUCCAGUUAAAUUUGAAUUUCAGAUAAACAAUGAAAAUGUUUUAGUCUAAAUAUGUACCAUGCACUAUUUGGUUGUCGCAAAACUUGUAGAAAGAUGACUAGGUAAGGCUUCUGCUUAGGCUGAUGGUUAGAGGCAGAGGGUGGCACCUUGAAACUGGCCCAGAUUUGGGAAUCAGACAGAUAAUCUUGGUCUGAGUCUCUGCCCUGAUUGUGUGAUCUGAACAAAUUGCUCAACUUCACUGGGCUUCGUAACUCGAGUGUCUAUCCUGUAGAGCUGCUGAAAGUAUUGGAGAUAUUACAGGAAUGAUGGUAGCAGGUAUCUGAUAACGUUUAGCUGUUUUUACUGUUGGUUUGAAGAAAGAAAGUCAGUAUCAAUGAGACCUUUGUUGACACACUGUCAACUAGCAAACUGGCAUUCUGAAAUGACCAAGAUUAUAGGUAAUAGUUCUGGGCAGACCUGGGCAAAGUUAGAGGGAACGCUGAUCUUCUUUAGAACAAUACCUCUAUGUGUGGGGGAACAAAACAUACUAAAAAUUAAUAGAUUAUCCAGAAUAAAUAAAGGAAGGAAGUUCUUUCGUUUCAUUCAUUAUAAAAUGUCAUUUGCUCAACUGACUUUUUCUAAUGUCAAAGGUAAACAUUUGUUCAGGUUUUACAGGGUCACUAUACAGAGGGAUAGACUAUUAUUUGGGCAGUGGAAGUACUUCAAUCCUAACCUUGUUUCCCUCUCUUCUAGGUUAAAGACACAGUCUGUUUCUAGAGCUUCUGUUGUUUCUAGAAAUUUCUAACGCAUUUCUUCUGUUUAAAAAAUACACAUGCAACAAAUAUGAAAUAUUCAUUAAAAGGAAACGGUUCUCUCUAGAAAAAUCUAUUUGGACAAAAAUCUUUAGAUAAUUUCAUUAUCAAAUGUGAAGAGCUACGGCUGGAAAAUAAAUUGACCAUUACAUUUUCAACUGAGCUACUCGGAUAUCAACUGCAUACUUUAAGCCCCCUGUUGUUAU
ensembl:lncRNA